AUUGAACGCUGGCGGCAGGCCUAACACAUGCAAGUCGAGCGAGCGGCGGACGGGGGAGUAAUGUAUGGGGACUGCCCGAUAGAGGGGGAUCACUACUGGAAACGGUGGCUAAUAACGCAUAAUGUCGGAUAACCCAUAUGGGAGUAGCUGGUAGGUAAGGUAAUGGCUUACCUAGGCGACGACCCCUAGCUGGUCUGAGAGGAUGAUCAGCCACACUGGGACUGAGACACGGCCCAUACUCCUACGGAGGCAGCAGUGGGGAAUAUUUCACAAUGGGCGCAAGCCUGAUGCAGCCAUGCCGCGUGUAUGAAGAAGGCCCUAGGUUCGUAAAGUACUUUCAGUCGGGAGGCGGUACCGACAGAAGAAGCACCGGCUAACUCCGUGCCAGCAGCCGCGGUAAUUC
rnacentral:rRNA from 1 species